CCAAUAGCGUAUAUUAAAGUUGUUGCAGUUAAAAAGCUCGUAGUUGAAUUUCGGGAUCAAUUUAUCGGUCGUGCAAUAGUACGUACUGAUUUUAUUGAUUCCUCUCUUCUGAUGAACUAUGAUGUCAUUAAUUUGGUGUCACAGGAAAUCAGGACUGUUACUUUGAAAAAAUUAGAGUGUUUAAAGCAGGCUCACGCUUGAAUACAUUAGCAUGGAAUAACGAAAUAGGACGUUUGAUUCUAUUUUGUUGGUUUCUAGGAUCGACGUAAUGAUUAAUAGGGAUAGUUGGGGGCAUUAGUAUUCAAUUGUCAGAGGUGAAAUUCUUGGAUUUAUUGAAGACUAACUACUGCGAAAGCAUUUGCCAAGGAUGUUUUCAUUAAUCAAGAACGAAAGUUAGGGGAUCGAAGACGAUCAGAUACCGUCGUAGUCUUAACCAUAAACUAUGCCGACUAGGGAUCGGAUGAUGUUAAAUUAAUGACUCAUUCGGCGCCUUACG
rnacentral:rRNA from 1 species